rfam:Oryza nivara chromosome 3, whole genome shotgun sequence.
GAUAUCAACUGAAAAAGUCAUCAACAACAAAGUUGAAUAACUCAUCAAGAUCUAAAACUUUUAUUUUUGUUAUUUCUUCAUCUGACGAAAUGUUAGUAAUAUUAUUCACAAAUUUUACAUAUAUGUGUUAUAGUUUAUAAAACCAGAUAAGAGAUAUGUCAAUUUUGUGAACAAUGUUACUAUCACUUUGUCGUAUGAAGAAAUGACCAAAAUAAAAGUUUUAGAUCUUGAUGAGUUGUUCAACUUUGUUGUUGAUGACUUUUUUNNGAUG